AGUGUGUCUGGUCGAUCUAAACAUCAGGAGCGAACAGGAGCUUCCCCACCAAACCCUAACUUGUGCAAAUUGAUCAAAUUGGGGCUUCAAAUCAGUUCCAAAUCGAUUUCCAAGCACGAAAUUGUCAUCUCCAUUGAAAGGGGAGUCAUAAGUUUGAUCUCGUCAAGCUAAGUGGGAGCUGGAAAGGAAUGGAUCAAACGGGUCAAGUGCGCAAGGAAAGCUCGAACGGACGCAAACUGUACAUUUUGGAUGCCGGAAGACGAUCAAGCUCAACGAAGAACCGAACACGAAUAAGAUAAAAGCUUCCGCACGUCGUUUCGUCGUAACUUUUAAACGACGAACUCAAUUAUGUUAUGUUGUAUUAUUUUAAAAUUGUAAAGUUUAAACAAACCCGUAUUUUUACAAAGUAUAUGUAGUCAUAAUUACAUGUUGUUUGUCGUAUACUUUACGAAAACCAUUAAAUAAUGACAAGGGUGUUACAAGUUGGUAAUCAGAGCUCAUGGUUAAAGAGUAAAGUGUGUUCGGUUCGAGGCUUGAUCGCAAAUCCGGACACUCGCAUCUGAAGAUAGCGAGAGUUUAACAAAUUGCGGAUAUCAUGAUGGAACGGUCCGAGAUGUGACAAGAAGAGCAUACUCAUCAAGGACCUAAAUCGCGUAACGAUCGCAAAUAAGUAAUGGCAAGGAAUGCCCGUCGGGGAAAGCAUUACCAGGAGCGAACAGGAGCUUCCCCACCAAACCCUAACUUGUGCAAAUUGAUCAAAUUGGGGCUUCAAAUCAGUUCCAAAUCGAUUUCCAAGCACGAAAUUGUCAUCUCCAUUGAAAGGGGAGUCAUAAGUUUGAUCUCGUCAAGCUAAGUGGGAGCUGGAAAGGAAUGGAUCAAACGGGUCAAGUGCGCAAGGAAAGCUCGAACGGACGCAAACUGAACGAAUAGAAAUUUGGAUAAUUACGUCAUCAUAGAAUAUUGAAUUAAUAAUAGCAAGGCAUAAACGAGUCUAUACGUUGACUCGAGCCAGGUACAUUUUGGAUGCCGGAAGACGAUCAAGCUCAACGAAGAACCGAACACGAAUAAGAUAAAAGCUUUCGCACGUCGUUUCGUCGUAACUUUUAAACGACGAACUCAAUUAUGUUAUGUUGUAUUAUUUUAAAAUUGUAAAGUUUAAACAAACCCGUAUUUUUACAAAGUAUAUGUAGUCAUAAUUACAUGUUGUUUGUCGUAUACUUUACGAAAACCAUUAAAUAAUGACAAGGGUGUUACAUGUAUGCGAUAAACAAUACCACAUAAAUGUUUGUAUCAGUAAAGCAUUGUUUUU
rnacentral:lncRNA from 1 species